AAACUUCAAAUAUCUAAUAUUCUCUAUUUAAAUCUAAAAUCUUAAAAACUUGCUCUAUUCUCAAAUUUUAAAAAUAAUACAAUAUUAAACCAAACCCCAAUUGUUUUACUCAAAACACUCAUAAAUAUCAAUCUUAUAACUUUAUUUCAAUAAUAUAGUUACUUUAUAUUUUUUCACAAUUUAUUCUACUUUAAAUUUAACUACAAGUAUAUUUUUUAAUUUUAUGCCCAAUUUUAAAAUUUUAUAACUUAAAAUCAAAAUUAUAAACUACAAAGUAUAAAUUUUGUAUAAAACAUAACUUAAAAUAAUUACAAACAAAAAAAUCACCAAACAAAGAAAGACAAAAAAAAAGAAAAUAAAAAAGUAAGAUAAUAUACUUUUGGCCAAUCAGAUCCAUGUAAAAGGAUCACUUCUCAGCUGUUGGAUUAUAUUAAAUCAAGGGCUGAGAUUUAUUUUAUUUUUUAUUUUUUUUUUCUUCUCUGGCUUCUCUCUCGACAGAUUCAUUCUCUUUUUUUUUUUUUUUUUUCUGUUUCUUCUUUCAUCUUCUUCACUCUCAUCUCUCCCAUCUUCUUUCUCUCCCAUCUCUCUACGCUUGAAAGCUCACCAACUCUCUCAUGUCUCACUUUUCAGAUCUGGUUAACUGAGAAAGGAUGAAGAUGAUAAUGGAGACGACGAAGAAGGAGACUCGCUGGGACGAAGCGCCGAGGCUCACCGGAGAAGAAGAUGCGCCGAAAGGUAGAUGAGGCAGAAGAAAAUGAUGUUUGGUGGUGGUGCAUAGGUCGUAGAAGAAGAAAAAAUCGAUGGAACUGAGGAGUAAGAUGACAAUUUCGACAGUCACUCCAGGUGAAGAAGAACCGGACAGUCGCCGUGAAGGAGGCUGAAGUUGACGGCAAAGAGGCUGAAGUUGACUGAGGAUUAGGUUUAGGCUUUUGGUUUAGUUCUGGUUUAGUUUAGGUUUAUUGGUUUACUUUACAAUAGAUUUGGUUUCUUUUUAUUUUUUUUUAAUUUUGGUUAGUUUGUAAACCGAACUUAAUUUAUAAAAUAAGAAAUUAUUUUAUUUUAA